AACGAACGCUGGCGGCAGGCUUAACACAUGCAAGUUGAGCGGGAUUUAUUUGAUAGCUUGCUAUUAGAUAAUGAGAGCAGCGCACUGGUGAGUAACACGUGGGAACAUACCUUUUGGUGGGGACAACAGUUGGAAACGACUGCUAAUACCGCAUAAGCCCUGAGGGGGAAAGAUUCAUUGCCGAAAGAUUGGCCCGCGGAAGAUUAGGUAGUUGGUGGGGUAACGGCCUACCAAGCCAACGAUCUAUAGCUGGUCUGAGAGGACGAUCAGCCACAUUGGGACUGAGACACGGCCCAGACUCC
rnacentral:rRNA from 1 species